GAUAGUGCUCCAUAGUGAGGCUCUCAUGUGACAUGAGUUAGGUUUACAAGGACCCUGUAGGUGGUGUCUGAAGCUCCUCUUGUUUUGACUAGAACUAUUUUCCUUUCUAGUGUCCACUAGCUGACUAAGGCAGUAGAGCACGCCAGAUCUGUUGCCACCCUGAGAGGCGGCCUCUUAAGACGUAGCUUCAUGGACCAGAGCGUGAUACUUUGCUAACGAGCAACGUUUUCUUCUGUUAGAAGCGCUAAGCCUAACUUUCUGACCACUUAAAUUGCUUGAUAUUUAUUUACUAUAACUGCCAUUGAAUUACCCGAUGAGUUUUUAAAAUGAAAACAUAUUUAAAUUGAUCAGAGCCAAAGACAAGAGGGAAUGACUAUAAAGAAAUUAAGGGAAAUCAUGAAAAGAGGAUCCAAAAUAAUGUGCUUUUUUAUAGGUACAGUCUAUGUGUCCGCGUGCUGGACCUGUGCUGUCUGGGUGUUCACUUUAAAUGAGCACACAUGCUGAGCUUGCUCGAGUCCCUACGUUCAGGUCUCAGCACCAAAAAAGAACAAAAUAAAAUUAGGCUCAAAGUAAUGUGGUCAAGGUUGUAACCACCUGUGUCCUUGCCACCUGUGUCCUUUAUCCCCAGGACCCCCAGUCCCUUCCUAUUCCCAGGGACAGUGAGUGGCUGGCUUCGGGCUGCUAUGGUUUUGGAACCGUGUUGCCAAACUGUAAAAGUCUGGAAUUUCCGAUCUGAUUACAUUCUUACAUGUGAGCCUUAGGCCCCCAGUUUUACCGAGACAGGCCUGCUGGCGGAUGUGCGGGCAGCUCUGCCUGCUCUGGGAGGAUGGUUGUCAGAGGAUCCUUGCUAGGGGCCCAUCCAAGUGACUCAGGCUGAGUGUGUUGCAGUGGAUAUUGCCAUCUCUUAAAGAGCUAGUCUGCUAUUAGAGUGGCUUCCACAAAGUUGUCCUCCUAUCCAAAGGAUGGCUAGCAUCAAUAGUAACUAUGGCUUCGGAUCUCAUGUCUUGUUCUUUUAGCAGCACAGUCCAAACCAUUUUACAAACUUCCCUACACACAUCUUUUGAAAGCAAACUGACCGCGUACGGUACGUACUACAAAGCUUUAGCAGUGUUACUCUGUAUACUUUGCUCAGGUAGAAAACAAGGUGUGAAAGCCCUCAGAACGUGGCCUCUUAGUGACCAUCACUCAAGGCUGAGAUACUCCAAAAUCAAAUUCAUCGUUUUAUCACCACAUACCCACCAUCAUCUUAGAUUCUUCUACUUGGGUCAAAGUUGACUUUGUUCAGAUGGACAAGGCAGAAAUACAGAAAUGAUGCAGGAUGCGGCUCAUCCCCUUGCUCGUAGCAUCUGUGAGUCAGUCCUGAUAGAAGUGCUGCCAUAGCCACACACCUCAGGCCCUUCCGUUCCACAGCCUCUAAGUUCACAGGACUCUUCUUUUCUCCCUCUGGACUAGGGAAUAGCUUUCUUUUUCUCAGUUCUGAUCCCUGUCCCUUCUCUUUCCUCUCUGUGUCCCCUGCUUUUUUUCCGACUUCCCCAGAUGCCUUUAAGUGCAGCCUCAAAUGUCAGAACGUGAAUUUUGCAGCCAGAGAGCCCAUGUCUCAUCCCAGUCUUGGCAUUCGUGGCUUGUCAGGGCCCUCGGUCUCCAUGAGUUUAUUCCUCCUCGGUGACACAGGAGUAACAAUACCUACCUCAUAUAGAGUUGUGAGGAUUCCGUGAGCUGUUGUUUGCGAGGUGUUCAGUACAGUUCCUGGCACUUAGUGGGUCAAUGCUGUCGCCGCCAUCUUUGUUGCUUCCAGGAGGUGCUCGUGCACAGUCCUGUCCGUGUGACUUUACCUCCAGUACUCGUUCCUCUGUAGAGGUCUGUGUUUGAUUUAUUGAUUCGUUGUCUCUUGAGUAGAAUGUGAGCUCCGUGAGAGCAAGGCUGUUUCCGGGUACAGCCGACACAGUGCCUAGACUAUGGCACGUCUUCAGACAGGUAGUAAGCACUCAUUCCUGUUUCCAAAAAAGGUGGGGGGAUGGAAGAAUAGUCAAAAGACUCUUCAUGGUCUCAUAAACAGCAGUCUCACCCUGUUACGAUCCCGCUGCCUUUCACUUCAAGAAAAGCCACACCACUCGCUCCUUUGAAAUUCCUCCGCUGUGCGCCUGGUCCCCCCCUUUUCCUGCCUGGCCACGUGGCGAGUUCCUGGCCACGGAUAAGUGUCAGCGCGGUGGCUGCCUCGCCCGUGGUGUUGCCUGCCCGGAUUUCUCCAGGCAGACACUCUUUCCAUUACCCAGGUUCUCACUGUCUUUUGUAAAUACCUCCGUGGAGGCAGUUUACUGUAUUGUUAAAAAAAAAUGUUUUGCAUGUCUGUUUCUAGUGUUACACUGUAAUCCACAUCAAAGCUGAGCUGGUGUCCUUCCAUCUUCAAGCCCUCAGGGGCCUCGAGCAAUGCCUGGAAUGUGCUUGUUAAUAAGUAUUUGUUGAGUGAAUUUGCGAGCGCACAAAGACUCGUGCAGUUAGAAAACACGUUUUACCAAGAUAGAGAGUUGCCUGGUGGCUUCCAGGAUUUUUUUUCUCUCUCUAGAAAGCAUUAUAUAAUCUCUUUGAAUGUAAUAUUAUUUAAAUUUUAAAAAUAACACAAGUUUAAUAUAGAUCUUCAUAAAUGAUUGCAAAAGAUAGCAGAAGCUUUGUGAUCUUUCAAAUGAUAAUAGAGUUCAAGAUAAAUAUUUGCACUAUUUCCAUAGUGAAUGCUAUGAGGAAAUGUACAGCAAUAAAUUUUGAUGCUUUC
rnacentral:lncRNA from 1 species